rnacentral:rRNA from 1 species
UAAGCGUAGGCAACCUGCCCUUAGGAUGGGACAACGGCCCGAAAGGAACCGCUAAUACCGAAUGCACUCUAACUUCCGCAUGGAAGAAAGAGGAAAGAAUGGUGCAAGCCAUCGCCGAAGGAAGGGCCUGCGUCUGAUUAGCCAGUUGGUGAGGUAACGGCUCACCAAAGCGACGAUCAGUAGCCGGUCUGAGAGGAUGAACGGCCACAAUGGGACUGAGACACGGCCCAU